ACAGCUUCCCAAAUUAAUGCAUCAAUGGAUUCCAUGAAAAUUCUCAUUCUAACUUUCCAAAAUGCAUAAUUCAUUCCAUUAAACAUAGGUGGUCUAUUAACAGCAGAACCUUCAGCAAAAAGCACAUUGAACUCAGACAUUAUUACAAACAAACUUGAUUAAAAUACAAGUCCUAGCUCUUGAUACCAAUUGUUGGGUUUAAUAGUGCCAAAGUUCAAGAGGGGGGGUGAAUUGACCUUUUAAAACUUCUUCGCAGAAACAGUGUUUAACCCAGUUUUACAGAAAAUAAAUCGAUUUAUGUAAAAAUGAACAGAUUUAUUUCAGCACUGUUUUUGUUUGAAAAGCUUUUAAUUCAGCAAGAUUAAUCACAAGAUUAUGCAGUGA
rnacentral:lncRNA from 1 species